rnacentral:rRNA from 1 species
UACGUAGGGGGCAAGCGUUGUCCGGAAUCAUUGGGCGUAAAGAGCGUGUAGGCGGCCUGGUAAGUCCGCUGUGAAAGUCCAGGGCUCAACCCUGGAAUGCCGGUGGAAACUGUCAGGCUCGAGUCCGGAAGAGGCGAGUGGAAUUCCUGGUGUAGCGGUGAAAUGCGCAGAUAUCAGGAGGAACACCAAUGGCGAAGGCAGCUCGCUGGGACGGUAGCUGACGCUGAGACGCGAAAGCGUGGGGAGCAAACAGG